GGAGUUUGGACCGUGUCUCAGUUCCAAUGUGGGGGACCUUCCUCUCAGAACCCCUACCGAUCGUCGCCACGGUGGGCCGUUGCCCCACCGUCAAGCUAAUCGGACGCAUCCCCAUCCCGCAGCGAUGAAUCUUUCAUCCCAGUCUGAUGCCGUCGAAGGAUGACAUAGGGCAUUAAUCCGACUUUCGCCGGGCUGUGCCCUACUAAGGGGAAGGUUGGAUACGCGUUACUCACCCGUGCGCCGGUCGCCAUCUAUCAAAGCAAGCUUCGAUAAUGAUGCCCCUCGACUUGCAUGUGUUAAGCCUGUAGCUAGCGUUCAUC
rnacentral:rRNA from 1 species